AACAGCUCAAAUUUGAAAUCUGGCCCUCGCGGUCCGAGUUGUAAUUUGCAGAGGAUGCUUUUGGUGCGGUGCCUUCCGAGUUCCCUGGAACGGGACGCCAGAGAGGGUGAGAGCCCCGUACGGUUGGCCGCCUACCCUAUAUAUAGCUCCUUCGACGAGUCGAGUAGUUUGGGAAUGCUGCUCUAAAUGGGAGGUAAAUUUCUUCUAAAGCUAAAUACCGGCCAGAGACCGAUAGCGCACAAGUAGAGUGAUCGAAAGAUGAAAAGCACUUUGAAAAGAGGGUUAAAUAGCACGUGAAAUUGUUGAAAGGGAAGCGUUUGCGACCAGACCUUUUCCAGGCGGAUCAUCCGGUGUUCUCACCGGUGCACUUCGCCUGGUUUAGGCCAGCAUCGGUUUCUCUAGGGGGAUAAAGGCCUGGGGAACGUAGCUCUUUAGGGAGUGUUAUAGCCCCUUGCGUAAUACCCCUCGGGGGACCGAGGACCGCGCUCUGCAAGGAUGCUGGCGUAAUGGUCGUCAACGACCCGUCUUGAAACACGGACCAAGGAGUCGAACAUUUGUGCGAGUGUUUGGGUGUUAAACCCUCACGCGUAAUGAAAGUGAACGGAGGUGAGAGCCCUUUAGGGUGCAUCAUCGACCGAUCCUGAUGUCUUCGGAUGGAUUUGAGUAAGAGCAUAACUGUUCGGACCCGAAAGAUGGUGAACUAUGCGUGGAUAGGGUGAAGCCAGAGGAAACUCUGGUGGAGGCUCGCAGCGGUUCUGACGUGCAAAUCGAUCGUCAAAUCUGCGCAUGGGGGCGAAAGUACGUAUCCAAUUAUUCUUAGAAGUUACCCCUCGAAACUACCCUACAACUACCCUACAACUACCCUAUAACUACCCUAGAAAACUACCCUAGAAAACUACCCUAGAAAGAUAUCCGCUCCAAACAACUAGUCCCUAGGACCUCAAAUAUGAGAUUCAAAUCCCCCCCAGCAGCUAGUCCCUAGGACCUCAAAUAGCAGUUUCAAACCCCCCCAGCAGCUAGUCCCUAGGACCUCAAAUAGCAGCUUCAAACCCCCCCAGCAGCUAGUCCCUAGGACCUCAAACAGCAGCUUCAAAUCCCCUAGCAGCUAGUCCAUAGGACCUCAAACAGCAGCUUCAAAUCCCCCACCCCCAGCAGCUAGUCUCUAAGACCUCAAAUAGCAGCUUCAAAUUCCCCCCAGCACACCUAGUCUCUAAGACCUCAAAUAAAAGCUUCAAUAACAUCCCCAUACUAACUUUGUAACCUACAGGACUUAUCGAACCAUCUAGUAGCUGGUUACCGCCGAAGUUUCCCUCAGGAUAGCAGUGUUGUCUUCAGUUUUAUGAGGUAAAGCGAAUGAUUAGGGACUCGGGGGCGCUAUAUUGCCUUCAUCCAUUCUCAACUUUAAAUAUGUAAGAAGCCCUUGUUACUUAAUUGAACGUGGGCAUUCGAAUGUACCAACACUAGUGGGCCAUUUUUGGUAAGCAGAACUGGCGAUGCGGGAUGAACCGAACGCGGGGUUAAGGUGCCAGAGUGGACGCUCAUCAGACACCACAAAAGGUGUUAGUACAUCUUGACAGCAGGACGGUGGCCAUGGAAGUCGGAAUCCGCUAAGGACUGUGUAACAACUCACCUGCCGAAUGUACUAGCCCUGAAAAUGGAUGGCGCUCAAGCGUCUCACCCAUACCUCGCCCUUA
rnacentral:rRNA from 1 species